CUGAAAAUGCUUCUCUGCUCCUUCAGAACCUGAGGCUCAUUGAUGGUGGAGUCUACACCGUCAACUUUAGACUAUUGAAAAAAACUAGAGACAUUGCAUUAACUGUGUCAGCUCCUCAUUUUAACAAUGGAAACCCAGAGUCCAGUGACCCUACAGAAGAUAACAACCUCGCCAUCCCUGGGCACCCAGUAACCUACAUUGCUGGAGGCUGCUUUACUUUACUCUUUCUUCUGCUGCUGCUGUUGUGCUGCAGGUGGUGCCGGGGUGCAGCUGGAUCACAAACAACCAGAAUUAUAAAGCAAGAGCAG